AACGAACGCUGGCGGCAGGCCUAAAACAUGCAAGUCGAACGCUGUAGCAAUACAGAGUGGCGCACGGGUGAGUAACAUGUGGGAAUAUGCCUUUUGGUACGGAACAACGUUUGGAAACGAACGCUAAUACCGUAUGGUCCCUUCGGGGUAAAGAUUUAUCGCCAAAAGAGUAGCCCGCAUUAGAUUAGCUAGUUGGUGAGGUAAUGGCUCACCAAGGCGACGAUCUAUAGCUGGUCUGAGAGGACGAUCAGCCACACUGGGACUGAGACACGGCCCAGACUCCUACGGGAGGCAGCAGUUAGGAAUAUUGGACAAUGGGCGCAAGCCUGAUCCAGCCAUGCCGCGUGAGUGAUGAAGGCCUUCGGGUUGUAAAGCUCUUUAGUCCACGAAUAUAAUGACUGUAGUGGAAGAAUAAGCCCCGGCUAACUUCGUGCCAGCAGCCGCCGUAA
rnacentral:rRNA from 1 species